CUACAACACGAAACUGUCUGA
rnacentral:miRNA from 1 species